CAUGUGUAUGGUUUCUCUCCACUGUGGAUACGUUUGUGACUUUCCAGGGUAUUUAACCGGUUGAAAGAUUUCCCACAUUGGUCACAUGUGUAUGGUUUCUCUCCACUGUGGAUGCGUUGGUGAAUUUGCAGGGUAUUUAACUGGCUGAAAGAUUUCCCACAUCGGUCACAGGUGUACGGUUUCUCUCCACUGUGAAUGCGUUGGUGCUGUUUUAGGCUCGAUAACUGGCUGAAAUAUUUCCCACAUUGGUCACAGGUGAAUGCUUUUUUCUCACUGUCAAUAAGA